rnacentral:rRNA from 1 species
CCCUUCGGGGUGUGACUGCGUACCUUUUGUAUAAUGGGUCAGCGACUUAUAUUCUGUAGCAAGGUUAACCGUAUAGGGGAGCCGGAGGGAAACCGAGUCUUAAUUGGGCGUUAAGUUGCAGGGUAUAGACCCGAAACCCGGUGAUCUAGCCAUGGGCAGGUUGAAGGUUGGGUAACACUAACUGGAGGACCGAACCGACUAAUGUUGAAAAAUUAGCGGAUGACCUGUGGCUGGGGGUGAAAGGCCAAUCAAACCGGGAGAUAGCUGGUUCUCCCCGAAAGCUAUUUAGGUAGCGCCUCGUGAAUUCAUCUCCGGGGGUAGAGCACUGUUUCGGCUAGGGGGCCAUCCCGGCUUACCAACCCGAUGCAAACUGCGAAUACCGGAGAAUGUUAUCACGGGAGACACACGGCGGGUGCUAACGUCCGUCGUGAAGAGGGAAACAACCCAGACCGCCAGCUAAGGUCCCAAAGUCAUGGUUAAGUGGGAAACGAUGUGGGAAGGCCCAGACAGCCAGGAUGUUGGCUUAGAAGCAGCCAUCAUUUAAAGAAAGCGUAAUAGCUCACUGGUCGAGUCGGCCUGCGCGGAAGAUGUAACGGGGCUAAACCAUGCACCGAAGCUGCGGCAGCGAACGUAUCACCCAAGACAACUUUACGGAGUUGACGAUUGACGGAGCGAAGCGACGUCAAAGCGUUCAUUAAAGUCGAGUUGGCUUAGGGAUACGUUCGUUGGGUAGGGGAGCGUUCUGUAAGCCUGUGAAGGUGUGUCGUGAGGCAUGCUGGAGGUAUCAGAAGUGCGAAUGCUGACAUAAGUAACGAUAAAGCGGGUGAAAAGCCCGCUCGCCGGAAGACCAAGGGUUCCUGUCCAACGUUAAUCGGGGCAGGGUGAGUCGACCCCUAAGGCGAGGCCGAAAGGCGUAGUCGAUGGGAAACGGGUUAAUAUUCCCGUACUUGGUGUUACUGCGAAGGGGGGACGGAGAAGG